rnacentral:lncRNA from 1 species
AUACGCCUACUCUUGUGAUCAAACGAGUUCUUCAACUCUCAUGGGUUCUCUAUCUCAAUCAUUCAACUCCUACUCAAGCUCUAAAAUUUUGAAGAGAAAAAGCAUAAUGUAAGGUUUGUCCUAACUCUUUUGUAAGUGUAUCUAAAAACUUGUUCUUGUUUUCUUCUACAAUAUUAUUUGUUUAUGUUAAUUGUUAACUGAAUAUGAAGGAUCCAAAGAAGGAAAAAUGUGAUUUUUAGGAAUGGAUUGAUGAAGAUGAAGAAAAUAUAACCAAGAACAAGAAUAAAAUAGAUGAAUAACAUGAACACUCUAUUGAAGUGAAGAUUGCAAUAUUGGAAUAUGAUUUUAGUGUUUACAAGUUGAAGACUGAUAAGGAAUGAAAUAAUUUUAUAAAGGAAUUGGAUAAAAUGAAAUGUUUGGUAUCGUAAUGUUUUGUAUUAAACUCAUGUAUUGUUGGUAUGAAGUGGGAAUUAAAAAGGUGUGUAUGUAG